AGGUCCUGCCUGCCCAGUGACUAUGUUAAACGGCCGCGGUAUUUUGACCGUGCAAAGGUAGCGCAAUCACUUGUCUUUUAAAUGAAGACCUGUAUGAAUGGUGGAACGAGGGCCUAACUGUCUCCCUUUUCAGGUCAAUGAAAUUGAUCUACCCGUGCAGAAGCGGGUAUAUAAAUACAAGACGAGAAGACCCUUUGGAGCUUAAGAUUAAAAAUCAACUAUGUCCAAUAUUUAUGAAAUAAAACUAAAUAGCAACUGAUCAUAAUCUUCGGUUGGGGCGACCACGGAAUAAAAACAAACUUCCACAUGGACUGAGGACUAACCUUAAAACCAAGAAAAACAUUUCUAAGUCACAGAAUUUCUGACCACACAGAUCCGGCAAAUUGCCGAUCAAUGGACCAAGUUACCCUAGGGAUAACAGCGCAAUCCCCUUUUAGAGUUCCUAUCGACAAGGGGGUUUACGACCUCGAUGUUGGAUCAGGAC
rnacentral:rRNA from 1 species